GAUUUGUCACCUAGAGCAAUGCUACCUCAGGUGUCUUUGAUCUAUGCUGAAAAGCUCAGAUGGCCAGGAGUUAGAAGGACAAAGAAUUGAAUGAGAAUGUGUUGAGGUCAAAUGCUGGUUAUGCUAACAAUUUUUCUGCUGAACCAGGACACUGAAAAACCAGGACACAUAUAGAUGAAAUUUCUGCAACAUUGGGUAGGACUGAGAACAUGCACUCCAAUUUACCUUCUCCAUGGGGUCUGGAGAGAUACCCUUUACCCAUCCACUUGCAUGGCCACUCUUUGGUGUGUGAAUCUUCAUGCUCUGUUUAAAGUUCACUUUGGGUCCUAACGAGUAGGAGAUGAAUCUAUCAGAGGGCUGGAAUGAAAGGAUGGGUUCAGUGAGAGUCCUAAAUUCAUGUGGAAUUUAGGGGUAGAUUUAGACCUCAAAUUCUGCCCAAAUCCCAGCUUAUGUUAAACACUUUAAAAUGAUGUUUUGAUUGUCAUCUGCUUGAUAUUUUGAAAAUAUUUAACCUUUAUUUUUUCCUAAAUUAAAACAGAUCCAAAUUACACCAGGGAUUUGAGAGACAUUAAAAAUGGGGAAAAGUAGAAUCCAAAAUUAAUGUACUGCUUUACAUUAUUUUCCUCUUUUUUGUGGCUCUGCCUGCAUUAGAAUGAACUCUGUGCCUUAUUCAAUUAAUGUCCUCAUGACAGCUCUCAGAAGCAAAAAGAGUUAAAAACACACGGGGGAACUGUAAUGGUAAUGUGUCCUGAGAGAUAUUCAUUUGGCCCCAGCUGUCCAUUUUAUUCUAAGUGCUAAAUGCUUUAAUAUACAUAGACUAUCAUUUACAUAGCAAGUGGCUAUGCGAGAUGAAUUAUUUAUUUUGUGACAAAUACCUAAUACCCAAUGUACUGUCAAAUACAAAGAAGUUCCUUAUUUGACCCCCAUGUGCAAAUUUGCAUUAUAGAAUUCAUUAUCUUUGCACAUAAGUCACAUUGAAGUUAUGUGCAGAUAUCUGUCAGUGGAACUGCAGAUUAUUGCAGCUUUGAUUUAAUUGCACUAUUUGCUGUUAUGCCAUACUUGUAUAGCAAGGAACCUGUUUUUUAAGCCUUAUGCCAUAGAAGCUGCUCAUAUAUGUAACAGCUCUACUACUAAUGUAAAAAAAAGGUAGUUGAAAUAGAAAAACAAACUCAAGUUAUGAUGAAAAUAUUAUGAAAGUCCGUAUUUUGUAUGCCAGCCAAAUAGUACCAGAAUUUCUUACACGAGGAUGAAG